rnacentral:rRNA from 1 species
AACGAACGCUGGCGGCAUGCCUAACACAUGCAAGUCGAACGAGACCUUCGGGUCUAGUGGCGCACGGGUGCGUAACGCGUGGGAACCUGCCCUUAGGUUCGGAAUAACUCCCCGAAAGGGGUGCUAAUACCGGAUAAUGUCUUCGGACCAAAGAUUUAUCGCCUUUGGAUGGGCCCGCGUUGGAUUAGCGAGUUGGUAGGGUACAAGCCUACCAAGGCGACGAUCCAUAGCUGGUCUGAGAGGAUGAUCAGCCACACUGGGACUGAGACACGGCCCAGACUCCUACGGGAGGCAGCAGUGGGGAAUAUUGGACAAUGGGCGAAAGCCUGAUCCAGCAAUGCCGCGUGAGUGAUGAAGGCCUUAGGGUUGUAAAGCUCUUUUACCCGGGAUGAUAAUGACAGUACCGGGAGAAUAAGCUCCGGCUAACUCCGUG